CCUACGGGGGGCAGCAGUGGGGAAUAUUGCACAAUGGGCGAAAGCCUGAUGCAGCGAUGCCGCGUGCGGGAAGAAGGCCUUAGGGUUGUAAACCGCUUUCAGUAGGGAAGAAAAUGACGGUACCUACAGAAGAAGGUGCGGCCAACUACGUGCCAGCAGCCGCGGUGACACGUAGGCACCAAGCGUUGUCCGGAUUUAUUGGGCGUAAAGAGCUCGUAGGCGGUUUGGUAAGUCGGGUGUGAAAACUCUGGGCUCAACCCAGAGAGGCCACUCGAUACUGCUAUGACUUGAGUACGGUAGGGGAGUGGGGAAUUUCUAGUGUAGCGGUGAAAUGCGCAGAUAUUAGAAGGAACACCAGUGGCGAAGGCGCCACUCUGGGCCGUAACUGACGCUGAGGAGCGAAAGCAUGGGUAGCAAACAGGAUUAGAUACCCUGGUAGUCCAUGCCGUAAACGUUGGGCACUAGGUGUGGGUCUCAACCAACGAGANCGCGCGUCGCUACGCAUAGUAGCCGCCGUCGGGAGGUACGGUCGCGACGAACAAACUACAANAGAUAGACGCGNGAGACGNGCGACGACGACGACGAGGAGAGG
rnacentral:rRNA from 1 species